rnacentral:lncRNA from 1 species
UGGGGUUGAGAGUCUUGUUGAGCUGGCGCUGGAUGUAGGAGUCGUAGGAAGUAUAUCCCGGUCGUAUCCGGAGAUCGUUGCCGGAGUCGGAAGGUGGUGGAAUGGUGGUGGGUGUGGGUUUUGAGGUUGGAAGGAGAAGAAGAAGAAGAGGAGAGGGAGGGAAAGAAAAAGAGAGAGAAGAAAGUAUUUGAGAAGCGGUGGGUUUGUUUUCA